rnacentral:rRNA from 1 species
AUUGAACGCUGGCGGCAGGCCUAACACAUGCAAGUCGAGCGGAUGAAGGGAGCUUGCUCCUGGAUUCAGCGGCGGACGGGUGAGUAAUGCCCAGGAAUCUGCCUGGUAGUGGGGGAUAACGUCCGGAAACGGGCGCUAAUACCGCAUACGUCCUGAGGGAGAAAGUGGGGGAUCUUCGGACCUCACGCUAUCAGAUGAGCCUAGGUCGGAUUAGCUAGUUGGUGGGGUAAAGGCCUACCAAGGCGACGAUCCGUAACUGGUCUGAGAGGAUGAUCAGUCACACUGGAACUGAGACACGGUCCAGACUCCUACGGGAGGCAGCAGUGGGGAAUAUUGGACAAUGGGCGAAAGCAUGAUCCAGCCAUGCCGCGUGUGUGAAGAAGGUCUUCGGAUUGUAAAGCACUUUAAGUUGGGAGGAAGGGCAGUAAGUUAAUACCUUGCUGUUUUGACGUUACCAACAGAAUAAGCACCGGCUAACUUCGUG